UGGGGAAUAUUGGACAAUGGGCGAAAGCCUGAUCCAGCCAUGCCGCGUGUGUGAAGAAGGUCUUCGGAUUGUAAAGCACUUUAAGUUGGGAGGAAGGGCAGUAAGCGAAUACCUUGCUGUUUUGACGUUACCGACAGAAUAAGCACCGGCUAACUCUGUGCCAGCAGCCGCGGUAAUACAGAGGGUGCAAGCGUUAAUCGGAAUUACUGGGCGUAAAGCGCGCGUAGGUGGUUCGUUAAGUUGAAUGUGAAAGCCCCGGGCUCAACCUGGGAACUGCAUCCAAAACUGGCGAGCUAGAGUAGGGCAGAGGGUGGUGGAAUUUCCUGUGUAGCGGUGAAAUGCGUAGAUAUAGGAAGGAACACCAGUGGCGAAGGAGACCACCUGGGCUCAUACUGACACUGAGGUGCGAAAGCGUGGGGAGCAAACAGG
rnacentral:rRNA from 1 species